rnacentral:rRNA from 1 species
AUGCAGCGGCCCAAGACGGUGAAGAGGUCAACGGCGACGGCGGAGCUCCGAGGCUGGCGACGCGAGGAAGACGAAGAGAAAGAGACGAAGGGGAGAAAAGGAAAUGACCCUUCGGUCCUAUUUAUAAAGCAGGGGACGUGUGUCAGGCGCGCAAAUCCAGGAGCCACAAAAUUCGGAAGUGGAGCUGCUGCCUUGAGUAUCGCAGAUCUAUUAAUAAAAGGAGGCGUCAUAAAUGUUAACUUCAUGAUGACGUCAUGCCGGUUCACAGCAACCAGAGAUGAUGACGACAUGGCGGUUCACCAACUACCAGAAGAUGUUGAAGACAAAGAUUUUUGUGAAGGAUUGACAUGA